CCUACGGGAGGCAGCAGUGAGGAAUAUUGGUCAAUGGACGAGAGUCUGAACCAGCCAAGUAGCGUGAAGGAUGACUGCCCUAUGGGUUGUAAACUUCUUUUAUAUGGGAAUAAAAUGUUCCACGUGUGGGAUUUUGUAUGUACCAUAUGAAUAAGGAUCGGCUAACUCCGUGCCAGCAGCCGCGGUAAUACGGAGGAUCCGAGCGUUAUCCGGAUUUAUUGGGUUUAAAGGGAGCGUAGGUGGAUUGUUAAGUCAGUUGUGAAAGUUUGCGGCUCAACCGUAAAAUUGCAGUUGAAACUGGCAGUCUUGAGUACAGUAGCGGUGGGCGGAAUUCGUGGUGUAGCGGUGAAAUGCUUAGAUAUCACGCAGAACUCCGAUUGCGAAGGCAGCUUACUGGACUGCAACUGACACUGAGGCUCGAAAGUGUGGGUAUCAAACAGGAUUAGAUACCCUAGUAGUC
rnacentral:rRNA from 1 species